rnacentral:antisense_RNA from 1 species
UUGUGAGAAAGUCCAGAAAAGGAAUGUUGCAAAUGGCCUGGUGAAUAUUACUCACUGUAAUUUCUUUGGGAAUCCUGGUCCAAAAAACAAAGGGUGUUACCAGGUGAAAUUCUCUCACAUGUAUCUCAUCAUUUAUUCACUUAACUCACUACAGGGACCACCCCAGGCAGAGGCCCUGUGGAGGGGGCUCCUGAGCUACAGACACAGCUUAGGGCCACUCUGGGGUGGGGUCUGCCUUCCUAGGCACAGGCGUGAGAAGCAUGCCAACAAGUUGGUUGAAUGAUUAGGAAAAAAGAUUCUGAGAACUGAGAAAAGCGGAUGGCAGAAUGGAACGACACAUUUGUGAGUGAGUCUCAGCAGACCGAAAGCUGAGUCAAAGCACCACAAAACUCUGCGACCUUAUUUCCCAUCUCCUGGAAAGAUGGGAGACGGAGCCACGCCAGGCCAGGCGUGAUGUUAAUCGUCCCAUCAAAAGCACCCAAGCCACUCUACCCCUCCAGAACAGGGAGCACAGAGGCUGGAGUGCAGUGGCGCGAUCUUGGCUCAGUGCAACCUCCACCUUCCGGGUUCAAGCGAUUCUCCUGCCUCAGCCUCCCAGGUAGCUGGGAUUACUAGGCACGCACCUUCAGGAUCAUGUCCUCCACCACGGACGCAUACACGUUCCUGUGGAGCGCCACGGGCUGCAGGGCGAUCCCAAUCUGGAAAAGCAGAAGAAAGCCGUUUGUUCGUAUCACUGCUUUAGAAACAGCCUCUCUCCAAACAAGCAUGCCUCUCUGACACACACAGAUGCCUGGUUGGAAGAAGGAUUCUGCAAACAU